rnacentral:rRNA from 1 species
GCAAGUCGAGCGGACCGACGGGAGCUUGCUCCCUUAGGUCAGCGGCGGACGGGUGAGUAACACGUGGGUAACCUGCCUGUAAGACUGGGAUAACUCCGGGAAACCGGGGCUAAUACCGGAUGCUUGAUUGAACCGCAUGGUUCAAUCAUAAAAGGUGGCUUUUAGCUACCACUURCAGAUGGACCCGCGGCGCAUUAGCUAGUUGGUGAGGUAACGGCUCACCAAGGCGACGAUGCGUAGCCGACCUGAGAGGGUGAUCGGCCACACUGGGACUGAGACACGGCCCAGACUCCUACGGGAGGCAGCAGUAGGGAAUCUUCCGCAAUGGACGAAAGUCUGACGGAGCAACGCCGCGUGAGUGAUGAAGGUUUUCGGAUCGUAAAACUCUGUUGUUAGGGAAGAACAAGUACCGUUCGAAUAGGGCGGYACCUUGACGGUACCUAACCAGAAAGCCACGGCUAACUACGUGCCAGCAGCCGCGGUAAUACGUAGGUGGCAAGCGUUGUCCGGAAUUAUUGGGCGUAAAGCGCGCGCAGGCGGUUUCUUAAGUCUGAUGUGAAAGCCCCCGGCUCAACCGGGGAGGGUCAUUGGAAACUGGGGAACUUGAGUGCAGAAGAGGAGAGUGGAAUUCCACGUGUAGCGGUGAAAUGCGUAGAGAUGUGGAGGAACACCAGUGGCGAAGGCGACUCUCUGGUCUGUAACUGACGCUGAGGCGCGAAAGCGUGGGGAGCGAACAGGAUUAGAUACCCUGGUAGUCCACGCCGUAAACGAUGAGUGCUAAGUGUUAGAGGGUUUCCGCCCUUUAGUGCUGCAGCAAACGCAUUAAGCACUCCGCCUGGGGAGUACGGUCGCAAGACUGAAACUCAAAGGAAUUGACGGGGGCCCGCACAAGCGGUGGAGCAUGUGGUUUAAUUCGAAGCAACGCGAAGAACCUUACCAGGUCUUGACAUCCUCUGACAACCCUAGAGAUAGGGCUUCCCCUUCGGGGGCAGAGUGACAGGUGGUGCAUGGUUGUCGUCAGCUCGUGUCGUGAGAUGUUGGGUUAAGUCCCGCAACGAGCGCAACCCUUGAUCUUAGUUGCCAGCAUUCAGUUGGGCAC